rnacentral:lncRNA from 1 species
GAUGUAAGACGAAUGGUUUAUAUAAAUCAGGUUCGACGGACACCUUAGAAGCCGUAAAAUAUUUUAUAAACACGGUGGUAGCCGCAACACAACUAGUUCUGGAAGAAAAGGAGGAGGAGGUUUCGUCACAACCACGAAACAGGAACCCGGCCAUCGACCGAGACCGAGAAAGUGCUCACGAAAUAUUAGUCACCGAUUACUUUGCCGACGAACCGUUGUACUCGGAGAGUAUUUUUAGACGCCGUUUCAGAAUGAGUCGUCGACUGUUCUCACGUAUAGCCGACGAUUUAGCCGCUUAUGACCCGUUUUUUACAUUGCGAUACGAUGCUAGAGGCAAAAGGGGCUUCACCACCUUACAGAAAUGCACUGCGGCGAUUCGUUAACUAGCUUAUGGGACGGCAGCCGAUGCGUGGGACAUGCCAAUCUUCAAUCAGACUUGAUCGAACACAUUUGGAAUCUCGGAGAA